rnacentral:lncRNA from 1 species
AUGAGUUCAAAUAUAUGUCUGUCUUCGCUGAAUUGGAGCAAAAAGGACUUGGAGCAGAACUGGAAGGUACCUAGAACCAAGAUGGCAAUAGAGACCUGCCCAGGCCGGACCACUUCCACCCCAGAGGCCGUUCGCCGCCUCCCCACGCAGACCCAAGUUUCCCUCGAGAUCCGGGCGGUUUCCUUGGCACUGGCUGACAUUAGGUAUCCGGGCCACCCGGGCCGUCCCCAGGGAGCGGCAGGGAGCGGCGACAGCCCUGCACGUCGGCCCAAACCUGGCCAAGUUGGGAGGCUCAGAUCGAAUGCCAGGCUGGAAGAACAGACCGGAGGAUUUGGUUUGGGCGAAGGACGCCCCCACGCUCACACACACGCGCACGCGCGCGCACACACUGAGCCUUCCGUGGGGAACCACCCAGGAGCUGUUGACUCCUCACAGGGAAUAUCGGGCGGGGUGGCCGGAAGGGAGCGGGACGGAGCGCUGCGCCCUCCCCGGGGACAGCCGCCUCCUGGCGCGCGCGGCGCUUGCAUCAGCGCUGCCUGGGCAGGGGCAGCGGCCUGGCCACCGGCGACGUCAGCCGCUUUCCCAGAAGAAUUCCACUUCCUGCGGCCCGGCCCGCUGUGCGUGGGCCCGGGGAGGGGGGCGGGUUGGUUUCGCAGGAUGACACCACCUCUUUGCCGCAUCUCCUCAUUCGUACAGUCUGUUGUCAUGGAGACCACAGCAUCCUGGCUGCCUUGGCGAGGCCAACCGGUCCCCGGGAAGUGAGUCCGGCCUUGUCCCAGCCAGAAAACCACUGGCUGUGUUGGGUGCUGGCCGCGGGUUCCGAAUUCUGCCCCCAUUGCUCAUGUAUCAAAAAAUUAAAGCUCUCUUACCCCAGGGUCUUAGAACCAACUCUGAGAAUUUCAGAAUAUUUCCGCCUAGAAAAGAGCCCAGACAGCACACUGCUGGCAGAAGUGGCUUUCUAAUCCUCUGUGGUUUGGUGUUUUUCCUAGCUUUUUUUCACCCAUGGAGAGCUUUCCCGUGGAUCUUUUAAGAUUCGCUGGCCUCGUGCAUUCUUGGUGAAACGUUUGUUUCAAUUCACUUUGGCAAAUACUUACUGAGUACACACAAUUGCUCGGCAGGGGGAGGGGGCUGUGAUAAUUAUAGCCGCAAGUGUGUAGGGAACACUUGCAAAGUUGCACAGGCAUAAACUCAGCCAGUCCUCGGCAUGACUUUAGGAGGUAGGUGCUGGCCCCAUGCUGCAGCAAAGAGGACAGUGACUGCGCAGUUAGUGUGAGCUGCCAAGGAAGCAAAAUCAGAU